rnacentral:rRNA from 1 species
GAUGAACGCUGGCGGCGUGCCUAACACAUGCAAGUCGAGCGAGACGGUUAUGAAGGAUCCUUCGGGUGACUGAAUGACUAGACAGCGGCGGACGGGUGAGUAACGCGUGGGUAACCUGCCUUAUACUGGGGGAUAACGUUUUGAAAAGAACGCUAAUACCGCAUAAGCGCACAGUAUCGCAUGAUACAGUGUGAAAAACUCCGGUGGUAUAAGAUGGACCCGCGUCAGAUUAGCUAGUUGGUGAGAUAAAA